rnacentral:rRNA from 1 species
AUUGAACGCUGGCGGCAGGCCUAACACAUGCAAGUCGAGCGGAUGAAGGCAGCUUGCUCCUGGAUUCAGCGGCGGGCGGGUGAGUAAUGCCCAGGAAUCUCCCUGGUAGUGGGGGAUAACGUCCGGAAAAGGGCGCUAAUACUGCAUACGACGUGCGCCAGAAGCAGGGGGGUGUUUGGACCUCUCGGUAUGAGAGGAGCCUAGGUCGGGUUAGCUAGCUGGUCGGGUAAAGGCCUUCCAAGUCGACGAUCGGUAACUGGUCGGAGAGGAUGGUCAGUCACACUGGAGGUGAGACACGGUCAAGACUCCUACGGGAGGCAGCAGUGGGGAAUAUUAGGCAGUGGGCGGAAGUAUGAUCCAGCCAGGCCGCGCGUGUGACGACGGUCUUCGGAGUGUAAAGCACUUUAAGUUGGGGGGAAGCGCUGUAAGCUGAGACCUUGCUGGAUUGACGUUACCGGCAAAAGAAGCACCGGCUAACUUCGUG